GAUGAACGCUGGCGGCGUGCUUAACACAUGCAAGUCGAACGGAGAAGCCCAGCUUGCUGGGUGGAUCAGUGGCGAACGGGUGAGUAACACGUGAGCAACCUGCCCUGGACUCUGGGAUAAGCGUUGGAAACGACGUCUAAUACCGGAUACGAGGCGUGGGGGCAUCCCCAACGCCUGGAAAGAACUUCGGUCCAGGAUGAGCCCGCGGCCUAUCAGGUAGUUGGUGAGGUAACGGCUCACCAAGCCGACGACGGGUAGCCGGCCUGAGAGGGUGACCGGCCACACUGGGACUGAGACACGGCCCAGACUCCUACGGGAGGCAGCAGUGGGGAAUAUUGCACAAUGGGCGCAAGCCUGAUGCAGCAACGCCGCGUGAGGGACGACGGCCUUCGGGUUGUAAACCUCUUUUAGCAGGGAAGAAGCGAAAGUGACGGUACCUGCAGAAAAAGCACCGGCUAACUACGUGCCAGCCGCCGCGGUAACAC
rnacentral:rRNA from 1 species